GGGUUUUAGAGUGUGACAGCUAGGAGCUUCAUUUUCUUCCAUUUGUCUGAGCAUUAUCCAUUGAAUUUUUGUCUUCCACCAAGUAAGUCGUGCCAUCUAAAGUUUCAAUUUCUCAAAAGCUUGAUUUGUGAUGAAUGUUGAUGAAAAAGCUUGAUUUUUGAUGAUUGGUACUGUCUAUGCAUGAUUUGCCACUGUUUGGGCCGAUUAAAUUGUGCUAAUUGUGAUUGGGAUUGAGUGGAAAGUGAAUCGAAAGUGAAAAAUGUAGCUAAACCAUGUUUGACAACACCACUCGCCGCUCACUGAAAAGAGAACAAUUUGUUCUAACCUUUGAACCUUGAACCUGAUUCAUGUUUUGAAAAUCUUUACCUUGAGUUGAGAAAAUUUGAUGAGGUAUUGAUAAAUGUUCAAGUUUGGGGUUCCUGGGAAAAUUGAAAAGAAAAACAUUGAGCUAAGCCAUGAGACAUCUCUAAUAACAUUGUCUAAUGAUAAUCUUUGAGGUUGUUGCCAUGUCUUAGCUAAAUCUUUAAUUUGAGGAUUAUUUGUCUCUUCAUUUAUUGUCUCUUACAAGUCUUCUUCACUUGCAUCUGAAUCAUUUAACUCAAGAGGUUUUUCCUCAAGGUCCACAAUUUCAUCAAAGACAACAUACAUAGAUUCUUCUAUUUCAAAAGUUCUCCGAUUAAAAACUCUAUAUGUUUUUCUUGUUAGAGAAUAACCAAGAAAUAUAGCUUCAUCGAAUUUAGUAUCAAAUUUUCCCAAAUUUUGUUUUCUAUUAUUUAAAAAAAAAACAUUUAUGUCCAAAUAUUUUCAAAUGAGAAACAUUAGGCUUUCAUCCUUUAAACAAUUCAUAAGGAGUACAUUUUAAAAUAGGUCUAGUAAGCAUUAUAUUUAAAACUUCACAUACAAUACUUACAACGUCAGCCCAAAAAUGUUUUGGAAUUUUUUAUUCAUUUAAUAAAGUUCUUGCAAGUUCUUCUAAAGAUCUAUUCUUUCUUUCUACUACUCCAUAUUGUUGUGGAGUUAUAGGCGCAAAAACUUUCAAAUGAUUCAUUUUGAAAUUUCUCUCCAUGAUCAUUACGAAUAGAUUUAAUUUUCAAAUCCUUUUCAUUUUGAACUUGUUUUGCAAAUUUUUUGAAAACUUUGAAAGUUUCACUCUUUAGAGUAAUAAAGAAUGUCCAUGUAAAUCUUGAAUAGUCAUCAACUAUAACUAAAGCAUAAUAAUUUCCCCCAAAACUUUUUAUCCUUGAAGGACCAAAUAAAUCCAUGUGCAAGAGUUCUAAGGGUUUUACACUUGAAACAAUAUUUUUCGAAUUAAAAGAUGAUUUAAUUUGUUUACCUUUUGACAUGCAACGCAUAACUUUUCCUUAAAAAAUUUAGUUUUGGUUUACCAAUAACUAAAUCUUUAGAUAUAAGCCUAUUCAAUUGUUGCAUAUGAAUAUGAGCAACUUUCUUAUGCCAUAACCAUGAAUUUUCUAUGAAUUUUCUUCUUUUACUACUAAUCAUGAAAUAUUUUUAUUUGAUACGUUUUCUAAAUCAAUUAAAUAAAUAUUUGCAUGCCUAAUACCUUUUUAAAGCAAUUUCAGAAGAAUACUUUUCAUGGAUAAUGUAGUAAUUGGGUUCAAAUGUUACCUUGAAACCUUUGUUAUAUAAUUGACUAAUAUUGAGAAAAUUGUGCUUCAAGUACAAAAAAUACAUUCUUUAUCAUAUAUUCCAAGGAUCUUCCGAUUGUUGUAGUCACCAUACAUGACAUAGCCUUGUUCCUUUUUUCGGAAAUUUGAAAAUUUCUUUCUAGCCUUGAAUAACCACUAUCAAGGUACCACAUGGUCUUCCAAGAUUUUGAACUUAUCUACAAAAUGAAAAGAGAACAAGCUACUUUAGGUACCCUAUAAUUUUGUACGGGUCCUUUGGGUUAGUUAAACGAAAUAUUUCAAAUUAUUUUAUAACCCAAGUAUAGUUUUCAUAAGAAAAACUAUAAUGUUUUAUUUUGCAUUUAUUUGAGGUAUGACCCUUUUUCAUGCAAUGAAAACAAGUAGCAUCAUUUGGUUUCCUACAAGUUGUUUCUUCUUCUAUCCAAAUUUUACGAGUUCUUCUAUAAUUAUUUUUAUUUUUAGUUUUAUAAUUAUAAUCUUUAUAAUUUUGAUCAUAUUUAGGAACACACUUAAUUGUAUUUUUUAUAAUUAUAAUCAUAAUAAUUAUAAUUAUAUUUAGGAACAUUUUUAACAACUUUUUUAAUUUUUGAAUUAUUUUCACUACUUUCAACAUGGGUUGUUUUGUCUAUAGGCUUCCUUUUAUUUAUACACGAGAUAAAUUCAUCACUAUUAGCAUAUUUACCUUUCUCAUAAUAUAAAUUUUUAUUUUUUAAAUUUUUAUUUUCUUCAAGAACAUUUUCAUAUUUUGAAUUUAAUUCUUUAAAAUCUUUCUUUAAUUUCUUGUGAGCAAUAUCCAAUUUUUUUGAUUCAAAUAAUAAUUCUUUAUAUGUAUCAAGUAAUUCACUAUUACUAUAAUCUAAAUUUUUAGGGCCACUAGAGAACUUACUUUAUUCUUAGAAAUAUUGUCGCCACUCAUCAAACAUAUGUUGGUCUGCUCAUCAGAGUCGCUUGAACUUGAUGUAGAUUCAUUAUCCUCAUCUUAAGCAAUACAUGCCUUCUUUUUCUUGAAUAAUUUCUUUUGGUCUCUUUCUUCACCCUUAUUUGGGUUUAAGUAAUCUGCCUUCAUAUGUCAUUUUUCUCUGCAACCAUAACAAUGGUAGUUUGAGGAGGAUUCUUGAUCUCCUUUUCGCUUUUAAAUCUUCUUUUUCCCUUGGACUUUUGUUAAAAUUUUUAAUGAAGAGACUCAUAUUUUUUUUCUUCUUCUUUAGAGUCUUCUUCUUCCUUAAUGUUUUUACCUUUUUCAAUCUCAGAUUUGAACACAGGUGUCUUUUUCUUUCUUUCUCUUCAUCUUCAUCCAAUCUUCCAAGAUCCAGUUCAUGCUUUCUCAACUUACCAUACAAUGCAACCGUUGACAUGGUAUUGAGAUUUUGUGACUCACCUAUAGUGAUCACCUUUGGUUGUCAAGUCCUGCCCAAUGAUUUAAGAAAUUUAAUAUUUAAUUCAGCAUUUUCAUAAGACUUACCUAACCCAAUAAGAUGAUUCGUAAUAUGAGUGAAGCGUUUCUGAACAUCUGUGAUAGUUUCUCCUUACUUCAUGCGGAACAUCCCAUACUCUUGGAUUAGAGUAUUCCUUCUCGCUCUCCUAACAUCAUUUGUUCAUUCGUGAGUGACCAUCAACAUCUCCCACAUCUCUUGAGCAUUUUUAUAGGUAGAGACCAUGUAAAACUCAUCAACAGUUAAAACAAAUGAUAUUAUAUUACGAGCCCUUACAUCAUGUUGGAAUCUCCUUCUAUUGUCAGCAUUCCAUUGGUCGCGAGAUUUAGGUUCCUACAAAUUGUUAAUAAAAAUAGUAGGAAUAAAAGGACCAUUUGUGAUAGUUUCCUAAAUCAUACCAUCAAUAGAUUCCAUAAAAAAUUGCAUUCCAACUUUCCAAAAAGCAUAGUUUUCUCUAGUAAAUAAUGGAGGUCUGUUGAUAGAUGCACCCUCAGCAAAGGUUUGAUGUUGCCCUGCCAUUUUGAAUUACUAUUAAGGCAAGCUCUUAUACCAAUUGUUAGAGCGGUGCAAUAGAAUGAUUAGCGUGAACAAUUUUACCCAAACAUGAAACUCACUUCCCUUGAAACCCACAAGGAAUGAGCACUUCCUCCGAAUGUUUCACGAAUGAUGAACAUCUCCUUUGAAUCUUCACAAAGGAUGACAAACUUUAACUCAGCAACAACAACAACACUAAAUCACAAUUCCAAUGAAAGUUCUCACUCUAUGCCAACACCAAGUUCCUAAAGCCACAAGCACAAGGGUUACACAAACCCUAGAAUUCACUUAUCACAGCACAUAGCAAAACAAAUAAGCUUUUCAAAAUUUACGUAUUUCAUAUGUUAAAUGAGAAUCUUAAUCCAUUAUGUAGAGAUCUCACUUAAGGAUAUCUUCAAAAAUCAAUUGUCAACUAUUUAACGCGUGAUAAUUGAUUAUCUAAAUGAGAUUAUCAAUUAUGCAUUUAAUGUAUGCAUAACGGUCAAAAACAUGCUUGAAGACUCUUAUAAUUACUCGUGAUAAUCGAUUAUGGUAAGUUAUAAUCGAUAACCGAUUAUCAUAAAUUUGUAAUCGAUUAUUCCAAGAAAAAAUGAAUUUUUAGAAAACUUUUAAGCACACAAUACAUGUAAUCAAAGAUAAAUAAUAUCCUAUAUAUAAAAUUGCUAAACUACAAAAGUUUUAAUAUAAAACAAGUUUUCAUGAAGAUCUUCUUAUAACUUAAACACCUCAUAUUUAACUUUGAGACAUCAUCAAAACUUAUAGGUUUCAUUUUUAUGCUAACAAUUUUGAUUUUUAUGCUAACAAUAUCGGCUAAUGUUAAAUUGUACCAUGACCAAUCUUGUCAAAGCAAUUUGAAUCCAUUAAUCCAAAAUAGAAAAUGAGAUGUGCUUACCGAAAUGAACAAUCCGAAAUGUCACCGAACUUAUUAUACAUCAAUGGGUGUUGCUCCCUCCACCUCUCCAAGUGCUCCUCCACUUCCCCACUAUUUUCAUUUAUUUCAAAAAUAUUCUAUACAUCUCCACUAUUUUUUUUUAUUCCAAAAAUACCCUACACCUCCCCACUAUCCUCAACAAUCUUUCCCUUUCUCUCUCUACAUUAAUGGAGCAUUCACAUGAUUCAAAUUUGAAUUUGUGAUAUACUACAAAAUAUAAAAUUUAGAGGAAACUUCAAUAUUAGCACUUUUAUCAUUUCCAUUUUAUAAAAUUAAAAAUUAGAUGCAAAUACAAAAUAAUAAACAUAAUAAUAUUAAUAGUAAAUAACGAUAUAUUAUUAUUAUUAUAUACUAACUUUAUAAUGACGAAAAAACUAAAUAAAUUCUAAAUCUUUAACAAAUAACUAUUUUUUUUUAUAUUUUAAGUAUUUAAUAAUAUUUUUAUAUUAUUUAUCUAAUAAAUUAAAUAUUUUAUUCAAGUUAUUUGAGUCAAACAUGUCGAUGAGUUAAAACAUAAUAUAAUGUUAAAACUUAUAGAUAUUAUAUGUAAAAAAAAACACACAUAUAUAUAAACAUUUUUCUAAAAAUUUAGAACCAAAUUUUACCAUUUAUUAAGUAAUUUGAAAAAAAAAAAUAUUCAACAACGAAAAUAAGAUUGAAUCAAACUUAUUUAAAAUAAUAUAUCAUAAGUUCAAAUUUAAAUCAUGUAUAUGCUCCAUUAAUGUAGAGAAAGAAAGAGAAAGAUUGUUAAGAAUAGUGGGAAGGUGUAAGAUAUUUUUGGAAUAAAAGAAAAUAGUGGAGAGGAUUAGAAUAUUUUUCAAAUAAAUUUAAAUAGUGGGGAGGUACAAGACCCACUUGGGGAGGUGGAAGGAGCAACACCCUACAUCAAUUAGUCGUUCCAAGAAGAAUAUUUUCAUUAUAAAUUAUUUUAGGUUUAAUACAUCAUUUGGUUCCUUCUUUUGUGGCUUUUGUUCAAAAUGAUCCCACUUUUGGAAAAAAAUCACUUAGGUCCCAUAUUUCAUUAAAAAUUGUUCAAAAUGGUCCUUCUGACAGACGGCGUUAAAUUCUUAACGGUGCAGAUGCUGGCGUGGCAAACUUUUAUUCAGUUGUUUAAAACUUAUCUGACGUGCACAAAUACGACCAAUGGGAGCACACCACGUGUCAGUCCCCUUUCCACCCAGAAUUAGGGUUUUGCAAUUGGGGGUAGAGGGACUUGGGAGGUCUGCCUCCGCCGUGAGAGUAAUGGCCUCUUGUGCAUCUUCGUCUUGGCUUGUGCUCUCAUCCACCAACGCCAAACACAAACCCAACUGCUUCAAAUUCAAUGCUCCCAUCGCUUCACAAAUCCAAUGGCAUUCAGACUCGGAUACCAAAGAAACCUUCGUCACCCUCCCGAAAUUAAACGCCACUGGGUGGAAGCAUCUGAUGAAUCUUUGCAUUCUCUGGAAAGAUUCACAGUGGCCUCUUACAACAUACUGGGGGAUAGAAAUGCUUCUCAACACUCGGAUUUAUACGUAAACGUUCCUUCUCGUUACAUCAAAUGGGAUCGUCGCAAGAGGGUUAUUUCUGAUAAGCUUCUUGGGUGGGACCCUGAUAUCAUCUGCUUACAAGUAACCAACUUUUCACCUUUCUUGAAUUUGUUCCAUUUUGUUUGAUUUAUUUGAUAGGCUAAAACAAUGCACUUAUACUUUCAGGGUUUGGGUUUGAUUCUGGGUUUCUUGGGCUGGUUUUCUGUGUGCAGGUGGUGGCCUGGCCGUGGAUUCUCGCUACUUAUUCAUUGAAGAUGAAGGAGGAAGGAGGCGCUGCUUGUGUGGAUGAAACCGGUGGCGCAUAUUGGAGGAGAUCUGUCACAGCGACGCUUGCGGUGUUGAUGGUGUUCGUGAUUUCUGAUUCGUGGUGGUCUGAUACGAUUCUAGGUUCAUGGUAAUUAGUUUGAGAUAAGAGGAAGAUGGUGGCGCAUGGUUGAGGCAACAGGGUUGCUAAUGGCGUGCGAAGAAGAAGAUGAUGGAUGGUGGUCGGCGGCGACACUGGUGUUCAAGUUUAGGGUUCACAUAGCCACAUCAGAUAAGUUUGUCACGUCAGAUAACUUCACAUAGCCACAUCAGAUAAGUUUGUCACGUCAGAUAACUUCACAUAGCCAUGUAUAUAAAAGUUUGCUAUGCACCGUUAAGAAUUUAACGCCGUCUGCUAAAGGGACCAUUUUGAACAACUUUUAAAGAAAUAUGGGACCAAAGUGAUUUUUUUCCAAAGGUGGAAUCAUUUUGAACAAAAGCCACAAAAGGAGGGACCAAAUGAUGUAUUAAACCAUUAUUUUAAAAACAAAAUAAUGAAAGGUAUAAUGAAACAUAAUGUAAAGUUAAAGUUUGGAAGUGCUGGAAGAAAGGUGAAGUACGAGAAGCAUCCUUCUCUAUAACCACAACAUCACUCACAUACCCGGUACGAUUACAACAAAACAGCCACGUAGAAAACACAAGUCAGGUAAGCUAUCAAUAAUUUAUAGAUAAUAUAAAUUCAUAUCAGAUCCAUUGUUAAGCAAUUUUGGUCUUAAAAUCUCAACUCUAUUGGAAAUAACGAAACAAAUAAACACUUUUAAAUACUUGUAUGAAGUAUAUCCCAGUAAAGACCAUCCCCUCAUUCAUUCUAGCACUUUUUAUCAACGCACAAAUCUUAGCUUAGUAAAUAAAAUUAAGUUCAUUACACAAAUAAUUGUAACAUGCAAAAUCUUACCUAGACAUCUUACCAACUGAUACCUUAAUUCGACGAUUAAAGUAAAUAUAUCACAUUUUAAUGAUGAAUUCUUACAUUUAAUAUUCAAACCACAAACUGAUUCAAUAUAUCAAAGUUGUGGUAAUGCCAAAUUAUGUUGCUUAGAUUACAUAAAAUCAAUCUUCAAACAUCCGGAUUUGCUAUCAGUUAGUCUCAUGUUGAUGCUUAACGCCAAAACAAAACUUUCCAAAAUACAUGGAUUGGUACACCAUGAGAUUCACUGGUUCAAGCUUUCACAUUUAAGGAUCGUUCAAUUUCUUCUAAAGAGCGACCCUUGGUUUCGACUAAGAAGUAAUAGGAAAAUGUUGCAGCUGAUAGGGAAACUGCUCCAAAGCUGGCAUAUAUAGGUGCUACUCCAAAUUUCUCCACCAACUCAAGGAAAAAUAAUCCCACAAUAAAAUUGCACACCUAGAUAUAAAGGACAAAUUAAAAUAAGCCCAAAAAAUUCCAUCACAUUUACCAACUAAAUUGACAUGAAAAAGCUUUCAACAGAGGAAAGGUUUCAAUACACACCCAAUGGGUAGAAAAACUUAAUCCCAUGAUCUUCCCUCGUGUCCUGGUACUGCUAAGCUCUGAUAUAAUGAUGCCAGUUACGGGUCCAGCUCCAAUUGCAAAAGAGAAUAUAUACCUGUGGAAUAAUAUAAAGGAAAAGUGGGCCUUCCUAGUCUGGAUCUUGUAGAAAAUAUAAAAUACGAGGAAAAUAUUCAAGUUAUCAUCUAUGUUCAUGUUAAUAAAUAAUAAAGGAAUUAUGCUAAAUUUUAAAGUAAAUACAUUUUAAAUGUGAUUAUUGAAUUAGGGAAAACAUCAUGGUAUUUCAUUGCCUAAUAGUGGCAAUUGCUUAAUGUUGCAAUGCUAUAUGUGUUGAGUGAAUAUUGUAUAUAAAGCAGUUGAAAAACUGACUCCUUGGUUAUUAGUUUUCUGUUACUAAUGCAGAUCUCACAUUGACUAAGAAUAAAGCCAGAUUAUAAUUUAUAAGUGAAGUAUAAUCCUCGUUUUAUAAGUUUGAGAGGUUGAGUUAAUUAUAAACCCGAUAGUAACAAAACUAUUCAGAGCCUAUUGUAGUCAAGUUCUUUGAGGCUGUUAUGCCACCCUUGUCGAACUCCUGUUAGACCACAUGUAAAUAUAUCCUCCCAUGCUCAAUAUGUUCAUUCCUUGUGAGGGGCUUGUUGGAGAUCCUAGAUUGAUUAGGAAUAAGGUUAGAUUAUAGUAUAUAAGUGAAGUGUAAAACAUACUAGUUUUGAGAGAUUGAGUUAAGCAUAAACCCACUUAUUAAGAUCUCAAAUUUAAAAAAAAAAACAUUUUUUUUCUAUAUUUCAAUAAUGAGGCUAUUAGACCUAUAAAUACAUGACGCGGUUCUUUAUUUUAGAAAAUAGAGUCGUAGAUCUAAGGAAACAAAUCCUUGUAAUUGUUGAUUGUUUUUAAAUACAUAAUCCUAGUUUUAAUAGCAAGAUACACCUAUAAUAAAUAUUAAAAUUAUAGCAAGGAUAAAAUAAAAAGCAACCUAAAAUAUAUAACGAGCUCCACGAUUUUGACACUCCUCAAGCUGGUGAGUACGUGUUCUCCAUUCCCAGCUUGGAUUAAAUUCUUUCAAAGUUAAUGCAAUGCAACCCUUAUGCAUGCAAAUUGAAAUAGUUCUAAUAAUGUCUUUAUCUCAAAUUCCAAAUAAUACUUAAAUCUUUCUAAUGUCGUUAUCUCAAAUUCCAUUUCAAGGCAUUGACUUAACAUUUGCUGCUCUAUUGUCAUCCAUAAUUUCUAUGAUAUCAUCAUUAUACACCAACAAUAUUAAUUUUUGAUGAAUAGAAUGUGAUCCCUUUGACUUUGUUUGUAACUCAGACUUGUCAUAACCUCAGUGAAUCUACCAAACAAUGCUAUUGGGGAUUGCUUCAAUUCAUACAAAGCCUCUCUUAACUUGCAAACAAUUGCAGAAACAAGUUGUCCUUCAUAGCUCGGGGGAAACUCCAUGUAUAUUUCUUCAUCAAGGUCUCCAUGUAAAAAUGCAUUCUUCACACCAAACUGCUUCAAAUCUCAAUCAUGAUUUGUUGCUAAUGACAACAUUACUGACUGCAUUCAUCUUAACAAAUUGGGCAAAUGUCUCCCUAAGUAAAAUCCAUUCCAUAGGAAUGAAUGAAUCCUUUGAUCAAUAAUCUUGCCUUAUAAUGUUCAAUGGCUCCAUCAGUCUAAUAUUUCAAUGUAUAUAUCACUUACACCCCACGGGUUUUUUUUCCAGUUGGUAAGGUGAAAAGUUCCCAGGUCUUAUUCUUGUUUAACGCCUCCAUUUCAAUAUCCAUAGCUUGUUUCCCUUCAUUGUUCGAUAAUGCUUUAGACACAGAAGAAUGUAUAGUUAUAGAGUUUAGGUUUGUGAGAAAGGUUUUGUGUAUAAUGGAGAAAAGGGUAGGAAAUUUAAUAGAGGGUAAAGUGAUUAUCGGGUUAUACUUUUGAGAGGGUCCCUAAUCAACCUAUUGAUAUAGAAGCUUUAAGGUCACAUUGUCUAACACACCUUGAACCUCCUUACACUGGUUUCUUUGAGAGUCUUGCUUCUAUAGAAGACAAAUUGAAUUGUCCGGCAGACCCUUGCAAGUUGAAAGGUAAAAGAAAUAUAUGUCUUGAUGUCACUUCCUCUUAUGAUAGUUUUGAUGAUUCUUAUGAAGUGUUAUGCAAGGUUGCUUCCAAGAUGAUAAAGCAUUCUAUGAUGAACAAGAAGUCUAAAUCUGUUAGAAAAUCUAAGCGUUCUUGCUUUCUCAUUUACUUGAUCUUCUUCUCUUAGAUAGCCAACCCUAAAACCGUCUCAGGCAUCAAUUGCUGGAGAAGAUGUUUAUUCAGCAUCCGACAAUAUUACCCUGGUGAGAGUGAUACAACAAAAGUCUCUUUAGAUAAUUAUGUCACCUAAGGAUAUGUGCGAAGAAACAUCGCUUACAGCAGUCAUUCCAGAUUCUCAUCCUUUAGCCAGAUACACUAAUCCAUUACCAAACACAUAAGAAAAUAUGCCAAUUAACGCUGUACCAAGUGAUCCUAUUCCUUUAGACAAUUCAUUCUCACCUCACUCCUACACAUCUAUCUUCAACAAAAAGACAACCCUCACUAAUUUUAUGGUUAACGCAAACUUAACUUCCGUAAUCCUUGGAUAAGCACAUGAAUGUCCCUUGAAAGGUGGAGAGACAUGUAGUGUAACACGCUGCUUAUAGAAAUGUUAUGGGUGUGUAUGAAAUAUUGUUUGAAUAAAUAGAGUAAUAUAUUAGAAUCUUUGCAUGUUAUCUUGAUAAAUUCUAAUUUCUCUUUUAAGUGAAAAUUUAAACUUUUACUUGAAAGGAUUAAUUUCAAAGAAAGAAGAUUCUUAUUUUGUUAAUUAAUUUGAAAUGGUACAUCAACCUCUAUAUUCAGAGAACUCAAACCCUAAAGUAAUACUUACAAGGGAUCUCUAGAAUCUUCUAAUAACUUUUAACAAUAUAUUUAAUAUCCUACCAACUUUCAGUAUUGCAUUUAACAUAUAACUAACAACACUCCCCUUCAAACUAGUGAGUAGAUAUCUAUCAUUCUAAACUUGCAUGUGAGAUCAUGUAAGGGCUCAAGGGAAAGACCUUUUGUGGACAAAUCUCGUAACUGAAGUCUAGACGGGACAUACGAAGUAGUGAUAAGACCACUACCCAAUUUUUCUUUAAUAGUGUCGAUCUAUCUCUAUAUGUUUGGUCCUAUCAUGUUGAACUGGAUUGUGAGCAAUGCUAAUAGCUAACUUAUUAUCACAAUAAAGGAUCAUAGGUUCUUCACAUGCCACUUUAAGAUCAUCUAGGAUAAUUCUCAUCUAUAACAAUUCAUACACCCCUUUUGCAUGAGACCUUGCAACAACAUUUUGUUUCUUACUUGUCCAAGUCACCAAAUUUCCACCCAACAAUAUGCAAUAUCCUGAAGUGUAUUUCCUAUCUAUGACAAAUCCUGCAUAAUCCGCUUUAGUAUACAAUUCCACUUUUAAUCGUUCAUUCCUUUUAAACAGUAAUUCCCUUUCCUGGACUUGUCUCAAAAAGUGAAAGAUUAAAUGUCUCUCUUUGGAAUCAUGCAUGAAUAGACUAACAACACUCACAACAUAGGCUUUGUUCGGUCUGGUAUGAGUUAAGUAGAUAAGCUUCCCAACAAGUCUUUGAUAUUAGCCUUUAUUUACUGUAGAACUGCCAUCGUCACUCCCAAUUCUAUGGUUUUUGUUAGGAUAUUUACCCUAUUUAUCAUCAUUAUAUUGUGUCAAGGGUUACCUUAUUUAUCAUGAUUAUAUUGUAUCUAGGGUUACCUUAAUUAUCAUGUACUCUUGUAUCAAUUUAUUCCUAGAAAUAGAAGAUUAUGAGAGGAAUCAAUCAAUGGAACCCAAACUUCUUAUAUAUUUGAGGGCUUUCAAAUUUUGUCACUCCUUUCGGAAGAAAGCUCAAAGCAUUUAUGCCAACGACACUGCGAACAAGCUUGCAUCUCCUAAAAUGGCAAACCAUGAUAUGGUGUCCUUCAUGGUUGAAGCCCAAUUUGCUGUCGAAUAACUCAGGAGAUUUUUGGAAGCGGACCCAUUAGAGGAUAUCAAAAAGAAACUAGACAACUGUUGAUCCUUCUUUCCCUACAUCCCGAUUUUGAUCAUCUCAGAGAUCAACUUCUGAUCAGUCAUGCGGUCCCCUCCAUGGAAACAAUGACAACUCACCUUUUGCGUGUUCUGGUACCUCAAACUCAAGAAGCACAUGAACUAGUGGAAUCGUCUGUCAUGGUUGCCACACGAGGAAGAGGAGGACGUAGCACUAGAGGAGGAGGACGAGGAGGUUGGGGACGUUCUCAAUGCACAUAAUGUAAAAGGAUGGAUCAAAUUCAAGAGAAUUGCUACUCCUUACAAGGUUUCCCUUCCAAAACUGUAAAUAUUUCAAAGACUGAAACUUCCACUUUUAAGUUCACCGAGGAUGAAUGUCACGAGUAUUUAAGGUUAAAGUCUAAUAGCUUGGCAAAGCCAUCUCAAUCUCCCAAUACAUCAACAACCUACAUUUCUCAAUCCAUGGAAGGUCAAAAUUCAUGGGUAAUUGACUCAAGUGCUUCUUAUCACAUUUUUGGUAAUAUCUCUUUGUUCUCAUCUAUUUCCUUUCGAGAAAAACCUCAUUUCAUAACCCUUGCAAAUGGAUCUAAAAUCCUCCAAAGGAGUCAGUCAUGUUUCCUUGUCUCCCUCCUUCAAUGUCUAAUCUGUCCUUUUUGUCCAUAGAAUGUCAAUUAGGAAAACAUGUUACAUCUUCCUUUCCUAAAAGGUCUCAAUCAAUAGUAAUUCUAGUUUUUCCAUCAUCCAUUCUGAUAUAUAGGGACCUAGUCAUAUCUCCUCCUUUGGUUUUAGAUAUUUUGUUACCUUCAUUGACCAAUAUUCAAGAUGUAAUUGGGUUUAGCUUAUGAAAAAUCAUUCUGAAUUGUUAGUUAUCUUUACAUCCUUUUUCAAUGAAAUCAUGAAUCAAUUUGGUCAAGUAAUAAAAAUAUUAAGAAGUGAUAAUGCAAAAGAGUAUUUCUCAUCCUCAUUUUCUGCCAUCUUGAGUUCCCAUGAUAUCUUACAUCAAUCUACUUGUCCUCAUACACUGCAGCAAAAUGGUAUAGCAGAAUGAAAAAAUAAACACUUGGUUGAAACUGCCCGUACCCUUUUGCUUGGUACCCAUUUUCUUGUCCAUCAUUGGGGGAUGCCAUUUAACUGCAUGUUAUCUUAUUAAUAGGAUGCCCUCCUCCUCUCUUGAUAAUAAAGUUCCUUUCUCCAUUUUGUUUCCUAAUGAUCCUCUCCUUCAUACAUCUCCCUGAGUGUUCAUGACAUGUCUCCCGGUCUAGACAAACUCUCCAUUCGCGCCCUCAAAUGUGUCUUCUUAGGCUAUUCUCGAGGGUUAAUGAACUCUAAAUCUGUUGAGACACUUACGAAUCCUAAUAUCAAACUCCUACCAAAUCAGGGGGAGCCUUUGUCAGAUCCUGAAUGGUACAGAAGAUUAGUUGGUAAAUUAAACUAUCUUACUGUUACGCGUCAUGACAUUUCCUUCGUAGUUAGUAUGGUGAGUCAAUUCCUAAACUCCCCAUGUGAAGACCAUUGGGAUGCAGUUGUUCGCAUACUGAAGUAUAUUAAAGGAUCACCUGGAAAAGGUUUGUUAUAUGGUCCUAACAACGAUACAAAAAUUGUUUGUUAUUCAGAUACUGAUUGGGCUGGUUCCCCUUCUGAUAGGAGGUUUACUUCUGGAUAUUGUGUCUGUAUUUGUGGCAACCUGAUAUCUUGGAAAAGUAAGAAGAAAAGUGUUGUGGCAAGGUCCAACGUAGAAGCAUAAUAUAGAGCUAUGGCAUCAGCUACUUGCGAGCUUGUGUGGCUUAAACAAUUACUUAGUGAUAAUCAAGUUGCUCUCCAUAUUAGCUCUAACCCUGUCGUCCAUGAGAGAACCAAGCACUUUGAAGUUGAUUGUCAUUUUAUUCGAGAAAAAAUCAUAUCCGGAGAUGUCAAGAUUGAGUUUUUUAACUCAAGUAACCAGUUGACAGACAUAUUCACUAAGUGCUUACGAAGACCUCGAAUUGACUAUCUUUGUAACAAGCUUGGAACAUAUGAUUUAUAUGCUCCAGCUUGAGAGGGAGUGUUACAUGUUAAGAUGUGUGUUUAUAUUAAUUGGGCUCAGCCCAUUUUGUAUUAAGGGCCUUGACCCAUUAUAAAUAAACUACCCUAUGUGUAUGCAAAAGACACAAGGGAGGUUUCUUCCCAUCUUCUCCAUUAUUCACACUUAACAACUCCAAUUGUCCUCCCUGUGGCAAGAUCCUAAAAUACACAAUGAGUGGGAAAGAACGUUACAGAACAAUUUAGGUCAUGAGUAUGCUUUCGAACGAAAAUAAGGAUAUUAGAUAGUUUUGGAACAUAAAGGACAUCUUUAAGGCUAAGGGAUGACAAAAAAGAAACAUUUCCACAUCCAUUUAUUGGGAUACGAGUCCCAUUGGCAACAGUAAUGCGGUUAUCAGAAAGAGAAAUAUAUGACGUUAAAAGAGAUGAAUGAAGGGUCAUAUGGUAUGUUGCACCACAGUCUAGAACCCAAGAGUCCUUACAUAAAGUUUUAGAAAAGUUAAAAAAGAAUUAGAGUUUUUACCAAUCAUGGUUAGACAGCAAGUACCAAAAGUUGACUUAUAGACUCCAUACAAGAUUUUAGACAUUCAAUCUUGGCAUGUAAUGUAGGUAUUACUUCCUCAAGUGAAGAGAAGAAGGUUUUUCGCAGGAUUUUGAGAAUAUGAAGAUGCCUAAUAAGCUUUCCUUGAGGGUUGUCCUUUUAGUUCUGCUAGACAAUUGAAGCAAGUGUCCUUGGUGUGGCCAGAUUUCUUACAAUGAGAGCACCAACGCUCUUCCUUACCUUUUAAGUAGUUUCGUAUUUGCAAGAUUUGAAGUCCCAGAUUUGAAAGUCUUUCUGGAGAACAUGGCAACUCCUUCAGUGGAGGGCUCAUUCAUCAUGACCGUUCAACGAGCCUCCUCACCUCGAGCAAUGAAGAGGACUUCAGAAAGAGAAGGAAUUCUUUCCUUUCCAAGAAUUUCAGGCCUAGUAGGGUUAUAUAUAUAUAUAUAUAUAUAUCAAUGAAAAGCACAUCAGUGUAGGUUGAGUACACUAUUUUCUAUCCAUCUUAUUUGCUCAAGUAAACCCAAAUUAAGAAACGGGAAAAGGAUCAACAAAAUGGAAUAGAAUUAUUUCAUAUCUCCUUUGUUUAUUGUAUUGAUUUGUUUUCUCAGUAGAGAUAAAGCAACUGUGUUGUCUCUCAAUCACACGAUAGUUUAACAUACCUAUUUAUAGCCUCAUUCUUACACUACUAAUCAAUGAAUAUGAAAAAUAAGUAUUUCAAGAUAGAAAAAUAGAGAAAGAAGCAAAUAAAUUUGAACAAGCAUCAAGUAAUUGUUGACUAUGUUUUAUUGUGGAUAGAAAAGCUAGGUUUAUUUUGCAAAGACAUAUAGCAGUAGACUAUUAGCAAUGACAAGUAAAUGCUCACAUAAUAGUUCCCAGUAUUGAUAAGUUGUUGCUGAGUUGUUCGUCCAAUGGACAGAAGAUAGCAGAUGACACAAGAAACAUUGAAAUUGCCUACAAAGAUGCACAAGUGAAAGUCAUCUGUAAUAGUCUUCGGAGAAAAUAUAGACUCUUUGGAGAAAUAUAUGAAAGAGUUCAGUGUGUGCCUGUGAUAGGAACUUGUAACCAUAACCCCAUUUUAAUGAUAAAACAGAUCAUCUUUACAUCUCUUACCGACGAGAAGGAGAGAUCAGAAUAGAGAGUAGGAGAAGAUACACUCAGAAAAUGUGAAUAACAGAAACAAAAGGAGCAACUAUCUCCUCCAUCACAUUUUGUUAGGAAUAUCUUGAAACGAAAAGAAAAAGAUAAUAAAAUCCUAACAAAGAACAGCACAAUUACACAACAAGAGAGUAAAAAGUUGUGCAACUUCUGUAUUGAUUAUCAACCAUACUGUUUCAACAAAGGUAUACAAAAUAUACCCCCAAAACAAGCACUCUCCCUUUCUCAAUGGAAAAUUAUUAAAACAAAAAAUCACACCAAUCCCCACUCACUAAAGAGAAAGAAGUCCUACUUAACGAAAAUAACUAACAUCUUGACUCAGUCAACUAUUAUUUACAAUUUGAACCUUUCCCCUUUUUUUCUUUCUAUAGUAAACCUAUAGAGUAUUUUUCCAUUUUAGAUGUUCCUAAAUUCUUUCCUAACAUUUUAUUUGCCUAACUAACAAGAAAGUCCCUUGACUCAUUGCCAUAUUAACUUUCAGUAGUGCUCCUCUGUAUGAAUAUUCCCUUAAUUUCUCUUAGUUUCACCUUCCUUGAAUCCUCAUUGCCACCUGUUGUCAUUGUUAGUUUUCUCCUCCUCAACCAAAUUGUUUCCCUUCUUUCUCUUGUGCACUAUUAGACCUUUAUUAUUUAUUGUUGGGUUCACAGGGCCUCCUCCUAUAAGUGGGUAACAGUAAGGGGCUAAUCAUCAUCUGUCGAACUUACAAGAAUUGAAGGGGAAACACUUGGAGUAGAGUUUUCUCUCAGAACCAUAUUUGUUGAAUAAAAUUCAUCUCUUCUUUCAUAUUCUUGAUUCUUAGUUUGUAACAGGUUUCUUGUUUUGUUCACAGAAAAUUACAACUCAUGAAGUUGUGAACAUCCUCUAAACACUCACCAUUCCUAAGUAGCUUCCUAUUAGAAGUUUCUGUCUCCCUUCCCUAUCAAUUAAGUAUAAUGCACAGAGUGCACCUGAAGAGAAACAAAAGAUAAGAGAAAUCAGAAUCAGAUUUCCAGAAGAAAUUUAUAUUCAUAAAUAUGAUAAGUGGAGAAGAGUGCAAACCGGCAAAAUUAGUAAGCCCAACAAACAAGCUUGCUACAGCACUACUUUCAACUCCAACUUUUUGAAAGGUCAACGAUGAAAAAUAAAGAACUCCAUUAAUGCCUGCAAACUGCUGCAGUACAAAAAGAGCACCUCCAAUAAAGGCAACUGCAAUCAUACAAGAAAACCCACAGCAAAUUUUAUACAUCCAAGUUUCAAGUAGCAUGCAUAAGUAAUGAUGAUAAACGUGUACUUGUGUAUAAAAGAAAAAAGUUCUGUUCUGUGGAGCUAAAUUCAUUCCCCUCUUCAAUUGAAAUUGUUACUUUUAAGUGCUUCACUUGUUAAUCAAUCAAUUACGCUACUAGGACAAGGUAAAGAAUAAUUUUCCAAGCGGUGAAUGCUGCCUAGUAUCUCAUAGUAAUAGUCAAAACCAUCUCUACACAACCUCUAGAAUGUGGCUCCUCCAAGAUCUCUGACCAUCUGCUGUCCGAAUUGCAACCAUCAUUCUUGCAGACUGACUGAAAUUCCUCAAUUGCGCUAUCAAUUUGGGAUUCCCCCCAAAGCUCACGUAUUACUGUUUUAGCAUCAUUUAUUCUCCCAGCCUAAACAGAAAUGUAAAAAGCUAUAUAAAGUGUAACAUUAUAUUUACCAAUCAAUUAAAUAAUAAGCUAUCACCUUGCAAAGCCACCGUGGACUAUCAACGGUAAACUGCAUACCAAUUGCAACCAGAAUACCCGGGAUGCUAGCAAUAUAGAGCAUUGUCCUCCACCUGAAAUAUGUUUUGUUGGUUCAAAAUAUACAUUAUUUGGAAAACAAUUUUGAAGACUAAAAACAUAUUGAUGGAAGAAUCACCAUGAAUUUGCACGAGCAAUAAUGAUUUCAAAUUGUGUGUUUAUAAUUCUUCCGCAAUAUAAACACAAUUUGGAAAGUCAGAUAAACUUUUACAUUUUGAUAAUGGGAGGAAAUAUGUACAGCAUGACACGUCGAAAUUCCAUUCUGAAAAUGGUAUUGUUACUGAGCUAAUGUGUGGGUACACAAUAACAAAAUAACAUUAUUUGUUGUAAUUUGAGAUAAUAUCUUUAAAAUCUUCCUAAUUAGGAGAAAUAGAAAUAAAAUUUCAAACUUCUUUCAUACUCAUAGACCCUUUUGCAUUUUUGUAUUUUGUCGUAGUAUCUCAUGUGCUUCAUCCCUGUUUGCCUUAGUUCACUUUGACAUUUGAGGACCUAAUCAUGUUAUGUUUAAUUUAUGUUUUCAAUAUAUUUUUACUUUUAUUAAUGGUUAUUCUAGAUGUACUAGGUUAUUUUUAAUGAACAACUUUUCUGAUUUAUUUUAUUUCUUUCAAACCUUUUAUAAUGAAAUUAAAACUCAACUUGGUGUUUCUAUUCGAACUUUGCAAAGUGAUAAUGGCCUUGAAUAACUUUCAUAUUCUUUUAAACAAUUUCUUGCUUCUUGUUGCAUUCUCCAUCAAACUUCAUGUGCUUAUACACCUAAAAAAAAUAAGAUGGAUGAGUGCAAGAAUAAACAACUUACUAUUUUUGAAUAACUCGCACUAUUUUUGAGUUGAUAUUAUUCUUACUACAUGGUAUCUUAUUAAUUGCAUGCCAUCUUCAGUUUUGACUAAUAAAAUUCCACGGUCUAUUUUAUUACUUCAAGAAUCUCUACAUCGCUUAAAUGACAAAGAAGACUUAUGUUUCUUUAGUUAUAGCCAUGGUUGUUCUUUAGCAAUGACCUUUUUGAUCAACUAGAUGACAAAAUUGAUUUCCUCAACGAAGAUUUGCAGGAAGAAAUUGAUAAGGAGUAACCUUGCAGAUUUGUUACUUAGAGGGUGUCUUUCUAGAUUAAUCUAUCAUCUUUGCAAAUCUUUGUAAGGCCUAAAAUAAUCUCCUAUGGUCUAGUGUUGUAAUUAGAGAAAAUAUCUAUAUAAUCUUCUUAAUUAUAGAAAAUAUCUAUAAAAUCUUCCUAAUUAGAGAAAAUAUUUUUAGGAUCUUCUAAAUUAUUUUUCAGUAUACUGUUUCCUUAUUUCCCUUUCUUAGAAGAUUAGAUUGUUACAAAUAGAAGUAAGGAGAAUGUAAUUGAUAUGAAUGAAAAUAAUAAAGUCACUCUCUUUUUCAAGUUGAUAUCAGAGCACCUGAUCUUGGGAGCUUCGUUUCCGCUACAACAGUACUCACCGUCACCGUUGUGCAAUAUCCUAUCAUUUAUGACUCUUGAUAUGAAUGUUUAUAAGGAGGAACUCAAGCACUUGAAAGCAAUGGUUGAAUCAAUGAGUAAGCCCUCUAGAUAGGGAUGGCAACGGGUUGGGUCGGGCACAGAUAGUGCCUACCUGCAACCCGACCCGCUGGGUAAAAUUGUACCCGCUACCCGCUGGAUACCCACCUUAAGAAAACCCGCGGAUUUGUUCCAACCCGCAGGUAUCCGUUGGAUACCCGUUUUAAACCCGCGAAUAUUUAAAAAAAAAAUAUAACUGUAAAUUUAAUUUUAGAAUGUUUUAGAUUUAAAGUUAAAGUUUUGGGAGUUAAAGAAGAGAAAAGAAUAAAAUAAAUAAUAAUAAGAUGUAUUUUUAGUGUGGGCUGCAGUAUUUAAGGAAAAGAGAAGAGAAAAUGUAGUAGGUGGAAGGGAAGUUAACUGAGAAAAGUAAAAUAAAAAGAGAAUGGUGGGAGGAAGAAAGAGUGCUACGUAAGAGAAUAAGGAGAGAAAAAGGAGACUUAUGCAGAGGAAAUUAAAGUGUGUGAGGAAAGUGUUUAUGCAGAAGGAGUUUCAAAUGGGUUAAAUGGUUAGAAUUUAAAUAAAGAGAGAAUCUAGGAGAGGGACAACUACCGUGAUUGGGUUUUGCAGAAAAUUAGAAAAUAAAUGAAAAUGAAAGAAAAAAGAUUGUUGAGAAAACAAAGAAGACAAAUAAAAUGAAAGAGAUGGGUUGUCUGUUUCGUAAUAUUUUUAAAUAGCUGUUGAGAAAACAAAGAAGACACAAUCAUAAAACUUAAUUUAAACUAAGGAUAACGAUGUAAUUUUAACUUCUAAGUGUGUAACGGGUAUUCGCGGGUACGGAUAAUGCAAAACCUGAACCCGACCCGAUAAGGAACGGGUAUUAAAAAACCCGUUACCCACUACCUGCGGGUACCUAUUACCCGCGGGUACCAACUAUCCACAACGGGUUUAAUCCGCGGAUACCCACGGGCACGGAUUUUUUUGCCAUCCCUACCUCUAGAUCAUGUACUCUGUCCAUGAAAGGUAAGAUUUGUCUCAAUAUUAAUGGUCAUGUGUCUCAAGGUAUUUGGAUUCUUGAUUCAAAAACAACUAAUCAUAUGACACAUUUUCGUGUGUCCUUCGACUCAUGCUAAAACAAAUAGAGAACAACUUAUUACAGUAGCAAAUGGACAGGGUAUACCUUUAUACUGCUAAGAGAAUAUAACUAUAGACUCAUCUAUUAUAUUAAACGAUGUUUUACAAAUUCCACAAUUAGGCAAUAGUCUUAUCUCUGUGAAAAAACUCACAAAGGAUUUAAAUUGUUCAGUAACAUUUUUCUCAACUUAUUGUGUUUUUCAGGACCUUGCCAUGGUAAGACGAUUUUAACUGCUAAAGAACAAAGUGGGAUCUAUCUAUUGGGGUCUAAUGACCAAAGCAAAACAAAAAUCAUGAUUCAACAAGUUACAUCUUUUAAUUGUGAUAUUUGUCAAUUGUCGAAACACCAUCGUGCAUCUUAUCCUAUUAGUAAUAAAAAGAGUUCUUCUCCAUUUGAUUUAAUUCACUCUGACCUUUCGAGACCUUCGUAGAAUCUAUUUCCAAAGCCAAAUGGUUUGCUACCUUUAUUGACGAUUGUAGUCGUGUCUCGUGAACAUACCUUAUGAAAAAUAAAUCAAAAGUUUUCCAAAUCUUUGUUAACUUUUUCCGUCUUGUCCAAAAUCAACUUCGAAAAAAUAUUAAAAGAAUGAGGUCUAAUAAUGGUACUAAAUAUGUGAAUGAUGAAUUUUUCAAUUUUUUGUCUCACAAUGGUAUUGUUCAUGAACUAAUAUGUAUAAAUACCCCUCAACAAAACAAGGUUGUAGAAACAAAGAAUCGUUAUCUUCUUGAAGUAACUAGAGCUCUUCUUUUUUCAAAUGUUUGUUCCAAGAAAUUACUAGGGAGAAGCUAUGUUAACUGCCACAUAUCUCAUACACAGGUUACCCACCCGUAUCUUAUAUGGCAUUAGUUCUAUAGAGCGUCUAUUAUCUUUUGUUCCUUCUUAACAACGAGUCUACCUAAUUGAGUCUUUGGGUGCAUUGUUUUUGUUCACUCUCUUCAUCCUAAUCAUAGUAAAUUAGAUCCUAAAGCUCUUAAAUGUGUCUUUAAUGGGUAUCCUUUUAAUAAAAAAAAGUAAAAAUGCUAUCAUCCUUGAAGUCGUCACGUCUUUAUCACCAUGAAUGUCACCUUUCAUGAAAAUCAAUCCCUUUAUGUUAGUCCACCAAUUCAGGGGAGAAAGCACAUGAAGUGGAUGAACUCUCAUUCUUUUUAUUACCAUGUUUCCCUUUGCAAAAUUCCCAAGAUCUGAGCAAUGAAGCUACCAUAGUUCGUAGUGUGGAAGAAGAGGAAGUAGACAAAUUUUUUGGCAAAAAAUAUGAAAGAAGAAAACAACCCACUUAGAUCCUCGAGCAAGACAAAUUGUCUAAUUCGGAGGUGAGAUCCCUGAAGAUAAUAAUGAGGAGGUAAGCAUUGAGGAUUUACCUAUUGCAUUAAGAAAGGAAUAAAGAUUUUGUGCUAAAUAUCCUAUUUCCAAUAUGUUUGCACUAACAAUCUCUUUGAUAAGCAUAGAAGCUUUAUUAGUGUCAUUGAUGUCAUAGUGGGAUUGACUAUGAGAAGAUGUUUGUCCCAGUGGCAAAGAUGAAUGCAGUUCGAGUUGUUCUCGCUUUGGUUGCUUUGGCUACUCAUAUUAGAUGGGACUUACACCAUUUGGAAGUGAGGCGUGACUUUCUUCAUUGAAAUCUAGAAGAGAAAGUGUACAUGGAGAUUUCCCCAGAUUUUGAAGUGAAAAAUGACAAAAAUAAGGUAUGCCUCCUAAAGAAAGAAUUGUAUGGUCUUAAGCAAUCCCCUAAAGCAAGUUUUGGAAGAUUUACAAAAACAAUGGUUUUCUUGGGAUACAAACAAAGCCAAGGAGAUCAUACUUUAUUCAUAAAACACUCUUCUACUGGUAAAAUCACUCUAUUGUUUGUCUAUGUGGAUGAUAUGAUUAUGGCAGGAGAUGAUGAAACAGAAAAAUUGGUGUUAAAAGAAAAAUUGAAAGCCCAAUUUGAAAUGAAAUACCUAGGAAAACUCAAAUAUUUUCUUAGAAUAGAGGUUUCUUACUCCAAGAACGGAAUUUUCAUCUAAAGAAAAUAUGUACUCCUAUAGCACAAAAUCAAGAUAAUAUAUCUAACAGGUGGCAAAAAAUAUAAUAUAAAUAAAAAAUAAUAACAAACUAACUAAAGGUAAAAGAUAAAUAUAAAAUAAAGAUAAUAUAUCUAACAGGUGGCAAAAGGAUAUACGCAAAAUUUUGGGAUUGACUAUGACGAGACAUUUGUCCCAGUGGCAAAGAUGAAUACAGUUGGAGUUGUUUUCGCUAUGGCUACUCAUUUUGGAUGGGACUUACACUAGUUGAAUUAAAAAAAUGCCUUCCUUCAUGGAAAUCUAGAAGAGGAAGUGUACAUGGAGAUUCUCCUAGGUUUUAAACUGAAAAAUAAAAGAACCAAGGUAUGUCUUCUAAAGAAAGCAUUGUAUGGUCUUAAGCAAUCCUCUAGAGCAUGGUUUGAAAGAUUUACAAAAGCGAUGAUUUCCUCGAGACACAGACAAAGCCAAGGAGAUCAUACUCUAUUCAUAAAGUCCUCUUCUACGGGUAAACUAACUCUAUUGAUUGUCUAUGUGGAUAUGACAUGAUUAUUGCACGAGAUGAUGGUGUUAAAAGAUAAAUUGGCUGCCCAAUUUGAAAUGAAAGACUAGGAAAAUACAAAUAUUUUUUUGGAAUAGAGGUUGCUCACUCCAAAAAAGGAAUUUUCAUCUCUCAAAGGAAAUAUGUACUGGAUCUCCACAAAGAAACAAGAAAACUGGGAUGUAGAACCUCAACAGUUCCUAUAGAAUAGAAUCACAGAAUUAGAAGUGGGGAAAGUGCUCCUGUAGAGAAGACUCAAUAUCAGAGAUUAGUAGGAAAAUUGAUCUAUCUAUCACACACAAGAUCAGACAUUGCUUAUGCAGUUAGUGUAGUGAGCUAAUUUAUGCAUGAUCCAAGAAAGAGAUACAUGCAAGCAGUUGACAAAAUUCUUCGAUACUUGAAGUCAAAUCCAGGAAAGGGGCUAUUAUUCAAAAAAGAAGACAUAUUGACUAUGAAAAUAUAUAAUGAUGCCGACUAUGCAGGUUUUAUUUCUAACAAAAAUCUACUUCUGGAUAUUGUGUGUUUCUUGGAGAUAGUCUAGUAACAUGGAGAAGCAAAAAGCAAGAUAGAGUAUCUUGUUCUAGUGUAGAAGCUGAAUUUUGAAUUCUUGCUCAAGGAAUGUGUUAAGGACUCUCGAUGAAAAUCAUUUUGGACGAUCUUGAAGUCAAGGAAGAUAACCCUGUGCAACUACACUGUGAUAAUAAGUCUGCCAUGAACAUAGUCCAUAAUCCAGUACAGCAUGACAGGACCAAACACAUUGAGAUUGACAAACAUUUCAUCAAAGAUAAUCUUGACAGACAUUUGUGAUUACAACUCAUUCCUAUAGAAUUUCAAAUAGCAAAUAUUUUUAUAAAAGGGCUCACUACGAGUAGAUUUCAAGAUCUUGUAGACAAAUUGGGAAUGAUUGAUAUUCAUUUACCAACUUGAAGGAGAGUGUUGUAAUUUGAGGAAAUAUCUUCUUAAUUAAAGAACAUAUCUAUAGAAUUUUCCUAAUUAGAGAAAAUAGAUGUAUAAUCUUCUAGAUUAUUUUGUUUCCCUAUUUCCCUAUUUUAGAAUAUUAGAUUGUUACAAAUAGAGCAAAGGAAAGAUUAGUAAUAUUUUGCAUGGUAUAGACUGAAAAGAAUACAAAAAUAAGAGCACUCUGUCCUCCAAGAGUUUCCCUUUCACAAAGAGCUAAAGCUCAAUCUACAAAAUUAUCCCCAAAGGUCCCCUGCAUUUUAGUAACCCCCCCUCUCCCACCAACUUUAUAAAGGAAACCUCACUCACCCUAACAACCUAACUAACAAUUACUUCCUAAUAUGUUUCCUUCUAUCAUGCAGACAUUAUAUCCUAUCAAUGUGUAUUUUCUACCCAUAGUGAGAUUGCUCCUAUACCUAUUUAUCACUAUAUUCAACACUUAUAAUAUUGUGCCUGAAUAAAAUCUAAAACUUCCUAAAAACAUCUCAACAUUCUUCAACUAGAUUAACAUGAAAAUGCAAGUCAAAAUUGUGAUUUAAACGCCAAACACAUGAAUCUAUGAGGAAAAAUACAAAGAAACUCACCAAUGUGGAUCAUUCUUAGAGGGUAUUCCAAGAAUUAGUGAAGUAAUAAUGCCAAGGCAAGUGCCAAUUUGACAUAAAGACCCCAGGGCACCCCUAUAUUUUGUUGGAGCUACCUACACCACAUACACCACAUCAUUGCAAAGAGACAUGAGUGAGAAAGGCUUGUUAUUUCUAUUUAAGAAUAUCUUUCCUCCACAUAUCAAAACCAAAAAUAUAGAAAAAAAUAAGUACAAACCAUCUUCAUUAGAAAUAUGAAUAUACUUUCAACAUGGAAGGGGAACUGUAAAGUAUUACCACAAUAGAAAUAAAUAAUAACAAUUAGAAAUUGGCUUGCUUUAUUUUCAUUAUAACAAAUAAAUAAUGUUUAUUACAACGUUGUGAUUAGAAAAAUAAAAACCAAAAUUUAAACACAUUGUUAAGAAUUGGACUUUCAACCUAACUCAAUCCCACAAAACUGGCUUGUAAAGUGAGGUUUGUAACACACCCGACUCAUGUUGAUGUGAGACUUCCAACACACCCACAUCACACUGAGGUGUAUAUAUCUCGUGCGUGGAGAAACUCACUGUAGGCAUCAAUAGAAAUUGAAACCUCAUCUGAUGAUUUAGGAGAAUUGACUUGAGCAACAUUAGUUGUUUUGUGUUGUUGUCAUUCCCUUGUAUGGCAUUCUGCCUCAAUAUGGCCGUAUUGGUGACAAAAAAUGCAACAAGGGUGUUGACCAAGAUAUCCACCACGAUUUCCACUUCGUCCACCUCGGUAAGAAGAUUGGGAGUAAAAAGCAAAGGAAUCCGUUGGAGGUACAGGAGAAUGACCAAACAUGUGAGGAAUUGAGAGGCGAAGUAAUUGUUCACUAACAGUGUCAUAAGAUGGAACAACCGUGUCAAAUAAGAUUUGAUUGCGAAUAGAGUCAAAGUUAAGAGGAAGUCCAACAAGUGUAAGAACCAUAAAAAACUUGUCACGUUCAGCAAGUUUGUAUGCAUCAUUAGUGAAAAGCAUGAGUGACUCAAAAUCAACUAUUAAGCAAUCGAGCUUAUGUAUGUCGUGAUUUUCCAGCUUCACAGUGAUAAGGUUGGAGACAACCUUAUAAAGGCAAUGAACAUCAUUGGAGUAUAACAACCUUAUAAAGUCUUUGACUCAAAUAGUUCAAACAUUAAAAGAAAGAUAAGAAACUUUUAUUCUGGGUCUCUUAGGAUGUAAUGCAUCAGAACUGGUAUAACAAGCUAUAUGAACAAGUCUUAGAUUGAGAUACUUAACACACAGUGCAGUUGGUAUAGCAAGCUAUAUGAACCAAAGACACUUGAUGUGUGUUAGAGGUUUAUCAAUCAUAAUACACCCACACAAUCCUUGCUAUUAUCAUUGUGUUGCACUUACUAGGCCCUGCGCAUGCCCAAUAUUCAUGAGUACUCUAGAGAUCAUGCCAAGAUCUCAUGCAAGCAGCCCCACUCGACACUUAUAUAGGUGAUUUCAUCAAGUGUAUGAUGUAAAUCAUACACUACCCAUAAGGGAUAUGAAAAUCAUUGAAAACUUUGUUUAAACUAAAAUUCUUUAACCACACAGAAUUUUAAUGACAAAGUUUAACUUCUCAAUAAUGCAGUCUCUAGAACUUUCACACACAUCAUAGGAAGGGACAUAAUUGAUUAAAAUCAAAUUGGUGCUAUCAGAACUAACAAGUGACUUGUUUUUACCCAUAUGAACCUUAUUCAUGGGAUCUCCAAUCACAAAGGUUGGGUUACCAUCACUUGUUUGUUUGCAAGUGGCUUAAGUCUCAUUCCCCUCGAUGUUUCUAAUAUCAUUUGCCUUCCCAGGGGUUUUGUCAGAGUAUCUGCUAGAUUCCGUUCUGACUUAACAUAAUCAACGGAAAUAGUUCCACUCUUUAGCAACUACUUCACCAAAUUGUGUCUCAAUUGUAUGUCUAUUCUUUCCAUUGUAAUUCUUGUUUUUAACUAUAACUAUUGUCAAUUGGCAAUAACAGUGUAUUGAUACCGAUGGAGAUGGUUUCUUUCCUAGUGGAAUGUUCGCUAAGAAGUUUUUCAACCACUCAGCCUCAUUACCAACCAUCUCGAGCAACAAACUCAGAGUCCAUUGUUGAUCUUGCAAUAAUUGUUUGUUUGGUUGAUCUCCAGGUAAUCGCACCACCCCCAAGUGUGAAUACAUAACCACUAGUGGAUUUUGUCUCAACUGAAUCAGAGAUCCAGUUAGGAUCAUUGUACCCUCCUAGUACAGCAAGAAAUCCACUAUAUUCAAUGGCAUAAUUGAACCUCUUAAGUAUCUCAUAAGCCUAGCAAGUGCAUCCCAAUGUUCCUGAUUUGGACAUUGAGUGUUACUACUCAGUCUACCUAUUGCAUAAGCAAUAUCAGGUCUAGAAAAGCUCAUCAAGUGCAGUAAGCUCCCAACUAUCUAGGCAUACUGAGGCUGAGAUAAUGAUUCUCCUCUACUUUUUAUUAAUUUAGAAUUAGCAUCAUAAGGGGUACUCACUGGUUUUAAGUCAUAAAACUCAAACUUCUUCAGAAGUUUCUCAAUGUAUUGUUCUUGAGAUAGUAAUAUACUAUCUCCCUUCCUUAUGAUUCUAAUACCUAAAAUCACACUGGCUUCACUCACGUCUUUCAUUUCAAAUUUUGAUCCUAGAAAGAAUUUAGUUCUAACGACAAUCUCAUUACAUGUACCAAAGAUUAACAUGUCAUCCACAUAUAAGCAUAUAAUGGCACAAUCACCCUUUUUAGAUUUAGAGUACACACAUUUAUCAACAUCAUUAGGUUAAAAACCAUCACAAAGCAACACAUUAUCAAGUUUUUCACGUCAUUGUUUUGGUGCUUGUUUCAACCCAUACAAGGAUUUUAAUAGUUUACAUAUUUUAUCCUCUUGACCAGGUAUAACACACCCUUCAGGUAGAGUCAUAUAAAUUUCUUCCUCUAAAUCACCAUUCAAAAAGGUUGUUUUAACAUCCAUCUGAUGUAUCACUAGUUUAUGGAUAGCUGUUAGAGCUAACAACAUUCAGAUAGAAGAAAUCCUAGUCACAGGAGCAAAAGUAUCAAAGUAAUCUAUGUUGGGUUUUUGAGUAAAGCCUUUUGCUACUAAUCUUGCCUUAUAUUUUUCUAUGGAUCCAUCAGAGUAAUACUUUUUUCUUAAAGAUCCACUUACAACCAAUGGGUUUUGCUCCUUUAGGCAAAUCUACUAAAGUCUAAGUAUUAGUUUUUCUGAAUUGAUUCAAUUUCAGUCCUAAUGGUCUUAUCCCACUAUUUUGCAUCAGGAGCACUAGUAGCUUCUACAAAGCUUGUUGGAUCAUUAUCAACAAGAUAAGUAUAAAAGUCAUCUCCAAAGGAUAUUUCCUUUCUCUGUCUUUUACUUCAUCUCAAAUCCUCAUUCAUGGUAUCACUAUUAUUAUUAUCAUCAACACGUUGAGACAUCUCACUAACCUUUAAGGGAAACAUAUGUUAAAAAAACUCAGCAUUUUUCGUCUCCACUAUAGAGUUUCUCUCAAGUAUGUUACUUUUAACUACUAAAAACCUGUAGGCAACACUAUGUUUGCCAUAACCUAAGAACAUGAAACCAGAGGUUUUAGAGCCUAUUUUCCUUUUCUCAGGAACGGGUAACAUCACCUUAGCUAAGCACCCCCACACUCUUAGAUAUUUAAGGUUAGGUUGGUAUCCUUUCCACAACUCAUAAGAAGUUUUACCGGUUUUCUUAUGGGGUAUUCUAUUUUGUAAAAAACACGCAGUAAGCAAGGCUUCUCCCCAAAGGCUAUCAGGUGCACCAGAACUAACAAGCAUAACAUUCAUCAUUUCCUUAAGGGUUCUAUUUUUUCUCUCAGCUACUCCAUUAGACUCAGGUGAAUAUGGUGAGGUCACUUCAUGAAUAAUACCUUCUUUAACACAAAAUUCAUUAAACAGUACAUACUCACCACCUCUAUCUGAUCUAAUCCUCUUAAUUUUCUUAUUCAAUUGAUUUUCUACUUCUGCUUUAUAGGUUACAAACAUAUCAAAGGCUUCAUCUUUAUGUUUGAUUAAGUAAACUUUGGUGUAUCUAGAAUAAUCAUAUCUAUAAAAGUCACAAAAUAAGUUUUACCUCCUCUAGACAUGGUUUGUUUCAAAUCAGCUAGAUCAGUAUGAAUUAACCCUAACAAUUCAGUUUUGCGUUCUACAGACAAACAUGUUUUCUUUGUGAAUUUAGAUUCUACACAUAUAUCACAUUUACUAUUUUGUUUAUCAUGUAUAUUAAUUAAUCCUAAUCGUCGUAAUUCCAAAACAUACGAGGAAUUCACAUAACCUAAUCUAGCAUGUCAUAUAUCAUACGAGUCAACAAUAUAAGCAGAAGAACUUGAUUCAUUAAUAUUUUCAUAAACAUUUAGAAUGAAGAGUCAUUGAUCACAAUAUUCCUUCCCCAUGAAAACAUUAUUUUUUGUCAUAAUGAUCUUGUCAGACUCAAAUGAAACUUUAACCCCCAUUAUUCCCAGUAGUGCUACAGAGAUUAAAUUAACUCUGAUUGAUGGCACACGUAGCACAUCACUCAAGGCCAGAGUCUUUCUAGAUGUGAGUUUGAGAAGAACUUUUCCUUUUUCCAAAAGAGGAGUGGUCCUCCAAUCUCUGAGGUAGACAUGUUCUUCUCCAUCCCUUACACUAGUGUAAGAGGUACAAGCACUUCUGUUUGCACAGAUAUGCCUGGUAGCACCAGAGUCUACCACCCAUUUGCUCACAUUGGUCAUCAGAUUUACUUGAGAAAUGACCGCAGCAAUAAUCCUUUGGCUAUAUUUGCCCUAGGAGGAUUGUCAUUUCUCACUCCAUGCCAGGUGGGUUUAGAUUCAUUGGGACGGGAUUUAAAAAAAAUUAUUUUUCUUUUUGUGAUCAAGUUUGUGUACAUACCCUUUGGGAGCAACAACAACUCCAUACAUGUCUAAAAGGGUGGACACGCGUUCUUGCCAGCUCCAAAAAUUUUGUCCAGAGAAAACUUCGAUUUUUGACACGUCCGGAAGUGAUUUUUCGAAGACCAUAUGGGCUUUGGGAACAAUGGUUUGACUCUCCGAAGGCAUAUUGUUGAUGUCAGUCAUAAGUCCUUAAGAUUGUUGUAAAAAGCUACCAAAACAGUAUUUCCUAAGGAGUGUAGAGUCGUUGUCCUUAAGGACUUAUCUGUGGUGUAUUGUGUAAGUCUCCCAGGAUAGGAACUUCUCAGAAUUUAUGAGGAUCUCAGAACUAGCAAGGAUCUCUAAAAAGAGUAUAAAAAACCCAAAAUAUAUUUAAAAGAGAAAAAAAAACAAGAGAAUGAAACUAAGAGAGAAGAAUGAGAAAGACUGAAUUUGGUAUAUUUUGGAAUGGGGGAAGAGCUCUCUAUUUACAGUGCUAGGAAAGAAUAAAUCAAUAAAAGACAAUAAAAACAAUAAAUAUUUAAACGUUAGAGCACUUAAAAUUUUGAUCGUUGCUCUUAAAAUGUUAAUGUUGGCAAUUAAGAAAUUUUAACGUUGCCAAAUACUAACGGUGUAAUACGUUUUCAUAUUUUGCAAUAUAAUAAUAUAUUAUAACAGAAAGGAACUUAAGAACAUGAAGAUCAUAAGCACAAUAUAAGAAUAAUUUAGGAAAUUAAAUAAUUUGUAAUUUUAUUUUAAUUUUAACGAAUGUGAGAUUUGGUUGAAGAGCCAGUUUGUGCUCGUUGGGUGAGCGGGCCUCGCUAGGCGAAAGUCUACAUCUGUAAUUUUCGUUUUUUUUUUUCUGGGCUUUGGGCUUUAUUUUAGGGUUUCUAUGUUUUCUUAAACUUAUGUACCUAUAUAUAGAGCAACCAAAAGUUGAUGUAAGCACUUUUAAGUCAUAUAAUAUGCAUUUGCAUUCAUUGAGAGAGAAUUCUCUUAGUUCUUGGAUUAGAACUUUGAUUCUUAUCAAAGAUUAACAUCUUUGUGACGAAUCUUCACUAGACAUAUCAAUCUGCUAAAUUGUGGUGUCCUCAUCCAUCUUAUUUUGCAUUCUUUUUUAUUUAUGUUUGUCAUGUCUCUUGAGGAUCCAAAUUCAGAAGAGAUUGUAUUCUUUCCUAGACCGGAUCAUAUCUAGAUCUACUUUCGGAUAAUGUUUACAUGGGAGAUAACUUGAUUUCUUGUAAGAGUAAGAGUAGAAAAUAGGACUAAUUUUAUUAUUCUGAAUCAUAAAAAAUACAUUCUCUUAUCCUAUAUUUGUAACAAUCUAAUUCUCCUAAAAAGGGAAAUAGGGAAACUAGGGAAACAAAAUAAAAUAGAAGAUUAUACAUCUAUUUUCAAUAAUUAGGAAGAUUCUAAAGAUAUUUUCUCUAAUUACAACACUCAUCCUCAAGUUGGUAAAUGAAUAUCAAUCAUUCCCAACUUGCCUACAAGAUCUUGAAAUCUAUCCAGAGGAAGUCCUUUUGUAAAAAUAUUUGCUAUUUGAAGUUCUGUAGGAACAUAAAUUGUAAUCACAAAGCCUUUGUCAAGAUUAUCUUUGAUGAAAUGUUGGUCAAUCUCAAUGUGUUUGGUUCUGUCAUGUUGUACUAGAUUAUGAGCUAUGCUCAUGGCAGACUUAUUGUCACAGCGUAGUUGCAUUGACAUAUGGGAGUCUCAGACCUCCUAAUAUUCUACUAACCAUUCAAGCAAGAUGUCCUAUCCUAACCACUAAACCAUUUGGUCCUAGGCGUGAUAACCCCUUUGUUUAUGACUUUGUAGAAUAUAAAUACUACUACUAGUGCAUGCCUACAGUGAAGCUCAAUGUCAAAAGCAUGUAUCCGGGUAAUUGAAUCUAGAUAUUGUUAUAAUAUUAUUAGUUACAAGAUAUUGUUAGUUACAAUAUCUUAUGUUUUUUACAAUAUUAUUAUUCAUUAUCAAUAUAUUACCUAUGUGCAUUUUCUACACAAGGGAAUUAAUCUUAUACAUAGUUUUUCCUAUUUUCACAGUAAUAGAGAGAUUUCUUAAUUUUUACUAAAAAUAUUAUUUCUAUUGAUAGUAAAUGAGAUGCUGAUAGAUUUCUUCAGGUUCUUGGUGCAUCCCCCUAGUUUCCGCCUCCAGUUCCUCCAUGGUGGUCUCUAGUGAAUUCAUUCUCCCCUCCAAGGCAUUGACUCUUCCUUCCAUGACACUCCUCUCCCAAGUAUCCGGCAAGUCGGACCAAUUUGAUAGAUUUCUUUAGGUAAGAAAUCAAUCUCUAUCAAAACACAACACACACACCCAGAUUACUGGAAAAAAACACCAUAUAUUAUUCUUGCAAUCAAAGAAUACAAUGUACACGUCCAAAACUCUCAUGGCAACACUUUCCCUCCAUGGGAUACAAGGUCCUAUCUGCACAAAAGAAUUAACAAAAGCUCCCUUGCCACGAGACACUCUUGUCUUCUUAUAAAGACAACCCAACCAGCUAACCAACUUCUAACUACCCAACAAGCAACUAAUUCCUAAUUUGUUUCCUUCCAUCCUGCACACGUUAUAUCCUAUUAGAUGCCCUUUGGGAUGUCAUCAUAGCUAAGAUGCCAAAGUACAUAUUGAUGCCUAGUAUGAGUUUUAUUUGAAAAAAAAUAAAGAGAAAUUUGAGGAAGAAAAGUAAUUUAUUCUUAUUUCUUAACAAUCAAAUCAAAGUUUACCCUGAAGUAUUUAUAGUCUCAGUUCAACUACCAUACUGGCAGUUGUAUAACUGAAAAUAUUGACAACAUAUAGUCAUGUAUGUAAUUGACUUACUACUUUGUUAAGAGCUAAUUUCCGUAAAAGACAGUUGAAUAAUAGCUCUUCCAUUAUGAGUAACAUCAAGGUAUUAGGAGUAAAGUGUAAACUGUACAGAUGAGGUAAGUCCGACAAGAAAAUGAUUAUGUACAAAGCUAAAGUUGAUAUUAGCAUGUACCUCGGAGAUAUAUAUUGGAACAAGAACCGUAUUAACACCUAUACCAAGACCAACAAGAAGUCUUCCCCCAAUUAUCUCAUUCAAGGAGUGAGCUUGUGCACUGUAAAAAAUUAGAACAUGUAUGUUAACAAUAUGACUUAUAGCAAAGGACCUACAACUUCACAUCAAAAAGCUUGCAAUUUGUGGGAAAUAUGCAUUGAUGAUGAAAAUAUUGGAAAAGUCACUCAUGUUAUAAUCAUAAAUUGCAUAUACUUAAUAAAUCAUGUUUUUGAACAAGCAGUUAAAAAUAGAGUAACUCUAUUCGCUAGCUGUUUUUCAACACGAGAAAUAAGUUUGGCAUUUAAGUUAGCUUGAGAAAGUUUAAUUAUGAGAAACAUGUUUGAUACUGACAGUCAUUGACCCCAUACACCAAUGGGCAAAUACCAUGUAUUUUUGAGACAUCAUGAAGGCUUUAUUUAUAUUGAGAAAAUGGAAACAAUAAAGAAAUAGAGAGGGUUUAAUAUCUUCUAAUAAAGAUAUAAUACAAGAAUAAAUAACAAUAGAUGUAUGAUCUAGAUGUACUUCAUUAUAUAAGAUAUGCUCUCCUCAUUUCUAUAAUUAUAACACUCCCCUCAAGUUACGGCAUAUAAGUCAUAUGCCCAACUUGAUACAGGUAUGAUCGUUUCUUGGUUAUCUUAGAGACUUAAUGAAUAUAUCAGUCAAUUGUUUGUUAAAGUUGACAAUUUUAGUGCUGAUAACAAUCCACCUCCAUAUGAUUGGUCAUCGCAUGAAAGACAAGACUAGACCAGAUGUACAAUGUUUAUGUUAGGACAUGACCUCUUAUUAUGAAGGCCUAUUAAAGAAAAAACAAAGGAAAAGGAAAAUACAGCUUAUUGUUUUCAUUAACCCAGUUGUAAAAUAUGUUAGUAAUUAUGUUGUUGGGAAGCUUGUAUAUAUAGGUGUCUUUUGGGGUUUUAGAAAAAAAAAAAGGAUUGGAAAAUAAGUGAACAGUGGGAGGAUUUUGGACCCUCGAAGUGUCAGUGGUAUUUCUGUAAAGAUUUCUGAAACCUAUAUUCGAAAUUCUCAGUUUCUCUAUUUGAGUUUCUUUCUUGUUUCUGAUUUUUUGAUCCCGGUAUUAGAGCUCUUUUCAAGCUGUGGUUUGUUACACGUGGUGACUUCAAGAAUGAUGGAAUCACGAGUGGAAACACCAAAGAAGUCUUUUGCAAAUGGGCAUUGGUUACCAAAGGGUUUUAAAGCAAGAUUAGAUGCAUGGUUAACCCAAAUGGAAGCGAAUUUGGAAUCCCAUCUUGCGUAACAGAAUUCACACAUGCCACGGUUGGAAAGGAUUGUGGAAAGAUUUG
rnacentral:lncRNA from 1 species